rnacentral:rRNA from 1 species
AACGAACGCUGGCGGCAUGCCUAACACAUGCAAGUCGAACGAGAUCUUCGGGUCUAGUGGCGCACGGGUGCGUAACGCGUGGGAAUCUGCCCUUUGGUUCGGAAUAACAGUUGGAAACGACUGCUAAUACCGGAUGAUGACGAAAGUCCAAAGAUUUAUCGCCAGAGGAUGAGCCCGCGUAGGAUUAGCUAGUUGGUGUGGUAAAGGCGCACCAAGGCGACGAUCCUUAGCUGGUCUGAGAGGAUGUACAGCCACACUGGGACUGAGACACGGCCCAGACUCCUACGGGAGGCAGCAGUGGGGAAUAUUGGACAAUGGGCGAAAGCCUGAUCCAGCAAUGCCGCGUGAGUGAUGAAGGCCUUAGGGUUGUAAAGCUCUUUUACCCGGGAUGGUAAUGACAGUACCGGGAGAAUAAGCUCCGGCUAACUCCGUGCCAGCCGCCGCAGUAA